UACAGAGGGUGCAAGCGUUAAUCGGAAUUACUGGGCGUAAAGCGCGCGUAGACGGUUACUCAAGUCGGGUGUGAAAGCCCCGGGCUCAACCUGGGAAUUGCAUUCGAAACUGCGUAGCUAGGGUGCGGAAGAGGGAAGUGGAAUUUCCGGUGUAGCGGUGAAAUGCGUAGAUAUCGGAAGGAACAUCAGUGGCGAAAGCGACUUCCUGGUCCAGCACCGACGUUCAGGCGCGAAAGCGUGGGGAGCAAACAGG
rnacentral:rRNA from 1 species